AGAGGGGCUGAGGCGGUGCCCGGCUGUGGUCCAGGCGGGCUCCGCCGGCUGGCAGGAGGGCGGCUGCGCUCCCCUCCGAGCUCCUGUUUCGCCUCAUCCGCCCCCCACUUCUUCCCCAUUUCUUCAUCGUUCCUUAUUCCCAGAAAUCACUCUGGAGCGUAAAUCAUCCCAAGUUCUCCCGCCCGGUUAGCGGCCUCCAGCACCGCGGCAGAGGUCGGUGCCGUUUGUCCCGAAAAGUGCCGUUUCUGAGCGGGGAAGUCCCUCGUCCACACGGUUUAAGGCCGGGAUCUCCGUGCCUCUCCACAUGCCUCCUAAGCUGUCCAGCGUCUCCCUAAGCAUCUGCUGCGGAUUCCUGCAAAGACUUAGAGAAACCCCGGGUGCCAUCAGUGCGCUCAUUCCUACAGCUCCAUCGGCCGGGAGCAAGAAGUUUUAGGCAAAGUCUGUCAGAGAUUAAGAAACGCUCGGAUUUAGUUAAAUUUCUGCAGCCGAAGUGUACCAUGACAGCCCUGAGGAGCCCUGGUGACCAGUUACCUCCUCAGCACUGCAUCCAAGCUAUGUGGGAAUCAUGACGAGAACUUUAAUCUGGUUACAGGAAAAGCUUAAAAUAGGACUCGGCCUCACCCACAUCACAGAUCACAGCCACACUUUGAAGAGUCUUGAUUUGGCCUUAGUCCUUUGGGUAGCUAACCUUGAUCUGGCCUUAGUCCUUUGGGUAGCUAACCUUCCUCUGCAAAAGCUCAUUGCCCACAGCCCUUGUGCUCUGCCUUCUCUCUGCCACUGCAUUCUUGAAUCUUCUUUUUCCUUACAGCUUUCCUCAGCAGCUGAUGUAUUUUAUCUGCCAGAGCGAGGUUUCCUUUCAAAAACCAGAACACCCUGUGGAGCCUUAGGCAGCCCAGGUGUAUUCUCAUCAGCUUCCAUUAAGACCUCAGCAGAAAGCCUUUUUUUCCCCCACAGGACUCCCUGAUGUUCUACUUCUUGUAAACCUCACACUUAGAGAGCAAGUUUGGCAUCAAAGUUAGUGAGAUCUUGCUGUUUACUCAGGAAGCAAGUGGCGUCAGAACCGCAAUAGUGUGUCUCUUCCAUCUUCCUUCCCACGUGUGCCUGUUGCAGGGGACCAGGAGAAAGGGAUGAUGCUGUGUCUCUUGGACUUUUUCUUGGAUCUGUGUCUCCAGGACAGUCAUUCCUAAGCUGCAGAUGCACCAGAACUAGACAGAAACCUCUCAUUCAAGCAGGAAUUGUUUAGCCAUCAGACAGCAACAAUUUGAACACUAUUAACUGGGGCUGGAUCCAAAGCAAACCAGAACCCUGCAUUCUGCCAUCAUCCUUGUCAACCAUCCCCUCCUAUUUGUUGACAAAUCCCAGAGAAGUGCUUUGUGAAAACUCUCUCUGUACAAUGGGCAUAUGGCCUUAGAGAUCAGACACUUGUAAAAGCUGUGAAGAUGAUCUUUAUUCUCACGGGAUGUGUUCUCUCAGGUUUCCUAUGGGAGAUGAGUUAAACUUUAACGAUUCUCCCAAGCUGCACGUUCUGUAUUCUGGAGAGCAGGGAGGCUGAGCUCUUGGCAUCAGUGCUGUUUGACAGUGUACAGAGAAUGUUUGGGUUGAUUUGCUGAAUAUCAUGGGUGUUUUACCUGGGGUGUGCUGCUCUGUCAUUUUUAAUAUCACGUAGCACCAGCUAUAUAAGGUGGUGCAAGCACUGGAGGGACUGCAGCCACAAGAAUUGUUUCGAGCACUGGAUGGACUGUGCCCACAAGAAUUUUCUUCCUAUGUGCAUUAUCACAUUUCUGAGCAGCCAUAAGCUGUGCUGGCUUGGUACUCAUUGUCUAAUGGAUUACAUUUACCCAUAGCAAGAACUCCAGGUUCAGACUCUUACUCUCAGUGCCAGCAGCAACUUGGAUGGAGAAAAAAAGAUCAGUACUCAGCAAGAAACACCUCAGGUGACCCCUAAGCAGUCUGAGAGCAGGUGCUACAGCAUCCCUCAGUUGGACUUCGCUCUGCCAGGGAAAGGGCUCUGUAAGGGCAGAAGGGCAGGGUGCUCAAACAGCUGAAUGAUCUCAUUACCAAACCCAUCCAGAACAAAAUACUGCAGCACCUCUUCUCCCUCCUCCUUGCGAUGACAUAACUUACUCCUUCCACAGAAUAAAGAUGGGACCAUAUAA